rnacentral:rRNA from 1 species
GUGGGGAAUCUUGCGCAAUGGGCGAAAGCCUGACCCAGCAACGCCGCGUGAAGGAAGAAGGUCUUCGGAUCGUAAACUUCUAUCCUUGGUGAAGAUAAUGACGGUAGCCGAGAAGGAAGCCCCGGCUAACUACGUGCCAGCAGCCGCGGUAAUACGUAGGGGGCAAGCGUUGUCCGGAAUGAUUGGGCGUAACGGGCGCGUAGGCGGCCUGGUAAGUCUGGCGUGAAAGUCCUGCUUUUAAGGUGGGAAUUGCUUUGGAUACUGUCGGGCUUGAGUGCAGGAGAGGUAAGUGGAAUUCCCGGUGUAGCGGUGAAAUGCGUAGAGAUCGGGAGGAACACCAGUGGCGAAGGCGACUUACUGGACUGUAACUGACGCUGAGGCGCGAAAGUGUGGGGAGCAAACAGGAUUAGAAACCCGUGUAGUCC